AGAACUGUGCCCGAAUGCCCAGGGACCACUUUGAUAGAGUGAAUACGGAGGUUAAAUUCCCCCCGGUUCUU
rnacentral:tRNA from 1 species